rnacentral:rRNA from 1 species
UGGCGAACGGGUGAGUAAUACAUCGGAACGUGUCCUGUAGUGGGGGAUAGCCCGGCGAAAGCCGGAUUAAUACCGCAUACGACCUGAGAGGGGGGAAAGCGGGGGAUCUUCGGACCUCGCGCUGUAGGGGCGGCCGAUGGCAGAUUAGCUAGUUGGUGGGGUAAAGGCCUACCAAGGCGACGAUCUGUAGCUGGUCUGAGAGGACGACCAGCCGCACUGGGGACUGAGACACGGCCCCAGACUCCUACGGGAGGCAGCAGUGGGGAAUUUUGGACAAUGGGCGCAAGCCUGAUCCAGCAAUGCCGCGUGUGUGAAGAAGGCCUUCGGGUUGUAAAGCACUUUUGUCCGGAAAGAAAACUUCGGGGCUAAUACCCCUGGAGGAUGACGGUACCGGAAGAAUAAGCACCGGCUAACUACGUGCCAGCAGCCGCGGUAAUACGUAGGGUGCGAGCGUUAAUCGGAAUUACUGGGCGUAAAGCGUGCGCAGGCGGUCUGUUAAGACCGAUGUGAAAUCCCCGGGCUCAACCUGGGAACUGCAUUGGUGACUGACAGGCUUGGAGUGUGGCAGAGGGAGGUAGAAUUCCACGUGUAGCAGUGAAAUGCGUAGAGAUGUGGAGGAAUACCGAUGGCGAAGGCAGCCUCCUGGGUCAACACUGACGCUCAUGCACGAAAGCGUGGGGAGCAAACAGGAUUAGAUACCCUGGUAGUCCACGCCCUAAACGAUGUCAACUAGUUGUUGGGGAUUCAUUUCCUUAGUAACGUAGCUAACGCGUGAAGUUGACCGCCUGGGGAGUACGGUCGCAAGAUUAAAACUCAAAGGAAUUGACGGGGACCCGCACAAGCGGUGGAUGAUGUGGAUUAAUUCGAUGCAACGCGAAAAACCUUACCUACCCUUGACAUGGUCGGAAGUCUGCUGAGAGGCGGAUGUGCUCGAAAGAGAACCGACGCACAGGUGCUGCAUGGCUGUCGUCAGCUCGUGUCGUGAGAUGUUGGGUUAAGUCCCGCAACGAGCGCAACCCUUGUCCUUAGUUGCUACGCAAGAGCACUCUAAGGAGACUGCCGGUGACAAACCGGAGGAAGGUGGGGAUGACGUCAAGUCCGCAUGG